GUUUAUGGCCAUACCACCCUGAACACUCCCGAUCUUGUCUGAUCUUAGAAGCUAAGCAGGGUCCGGCCUGGUUAGUACUUGGGUGGGAGAAAAGCGCUAACUUCUUAAAGAACUGGAAAUGAAUG
rnacentral:rRNA from 1 species